rnacentral:rRNA from 1 species
AACGAACGCUGGCGGCAUGCCUAACACAUGCAAGUCGAACGAGACCUUCGGGUCUAGUGGCGCACGGGUGCGUAACGCGUGGGAACCUGCCCUUAGGUUCGGAAUAACUCCCCGAAAGGGGUGCUAAUACCGGAUAAUGUCUUCGGACCAAAGAUUUAUCGCCUUUGGAUGGGCCCGCGUUGGAUUAGCUAGUUGGUAGGGUAAAAGCCUACCAAGGCGACGAUCCAUAGCUGGUCUGAGAGGAUGAUCAGCCACACUGGGACUGAGACACGGCCCAGACGCCAGCGGGGGGAAGGAGGGGGGAAUUUUGGAAAAUGGGCAGAAGCCUGAACCACCAACGCCGGGGGAGUGAUGAAGGCUUUGGGGUUGAAAAGCUCUUUUACCCGGGAGGAUAUGGAAGUAACCGGGGAAAAAAGCCCCGCCAACUCCGUG